rnacentral:rRNA from 1 species
GAUGAACGCUGGCGGCGUGCCUAAUACAUGCAAGUCGAGCGAACAGACGAGGAGCUUGCUCCUCUGACGUUAGCGGCGGACGGGUGAGUAACACGUGGAUAACCUACCUAUAAGACUGGGAUAACUUCGGGAAACCGGAGCUAAUACCGGAUAACAUGUUGAACCGCAUGGUUUAACAGUGAAAGACGGUCUUGCUGUCACUUAUAGAUGGAUCCGCGCCGCAUUAGCUAGUUGGUAAGGUAACGGCUUACCAAGGCAACGAUGCGUAGCCGACCUGAGAGGGUGAUCGGCUACACUGGAACUGAGACACGGUCCAGACUCCUACGGGAGGCAGCAGUAGGGAAUCUUCCGCAAUGGGCGAAAGCCUGACGGAGCAACGCCGCGUGAGUGAAGAAGGUCUUCGGAUCGUAAAACUCUGUUAUUAGGGAAGAACAAAUGUGUAAGUAACUAUGCACGUCUUGACGGUACCUAAUCAGAAAGCCACGGCUAACUACGUG